ACGUGUGCUCGUCCGAACUUUUGGACUGACUGCAGAAGAAAAAUGAUGAACUGUUCAGUCAUGUAAUUCUCUGCUUGGUGAAGUUUUUCAUUCCUCUGAAUCACUUUUUAAAGUCAAUCCUCAACUUUCAAUGAUUUCUAAUUGUUUAGCAGCUCAGUAAAAAUGAUCAAACUACUAAGACACAGAUCUGAGACACAAUCUUUGAAACAGUCCAGAUUCAUUUGUCCUCUUUGUUCAUAAAACUCUAUUUUGAUCAAUAUUUAGUGAAGCUGGUUUCUUGUUUCUUCUGUUUUCUUCUCAUCUUCUCUGAAGCUUAAACUCCUGAUUGAAGUCUUGAUGUCAGCUGAUAGUCAGAGAACUCUUUUCCUGUCUGAGAGCUUUGUUUCAUUGGUUGAGAAUGAAACACAGAGAAUUCCCUCCUGACUGGAUUGAUUUGGGAACAUGUUCAAUGUUUGUUCUAAUAAAGUCUG